GACGAACGCUGGCGGCGUGCUUAACACAUGCAAGUCGAACGGAAAGGCCCUGCUUUUGUGGGGUGCUCGAGUGGCGAACGGGUGAGUAACACGUGAGUAACCUGCCCUUGACUUUGGGAUAACUUCAGGAAACUGGGGCUAAUACCGGAUAGGAGCUCCUGCUGCAUGGUGGGGGUUGGAAAGUUUCGGCGGUUGGGGAUGGACUCGCGGCUUAUCAGCUUGUUGGUGGGGUAGUGGCUUACCAAGGCUUUGACGGGUAGCCGGCCUGAGAGGGUGACCGGCCACAUUGGGAAUGAGAUACGGCCCAGACUCCUAGGGGAGGCAGCAGGGGGAAAUAUUGCACAAGGGGGGGAGGCCUGAGGCAGAAACGCCGCGGGGGGGAUGAGGGCUUGGGGGUUGAAAACCGCUUUCGCCUGUGACGAAGCGGGAGUGAGGGAAAGGGGUAAAAAAGCACGGGCUAACUACGGG
rnacentral:rRNA from 1 species